rnacentral:lncRNA from 1 species
AGGCAGACCUACCCUUAAAAGUCUAUGAAGAUCCCGUAGAUCCACAAGUUUGAGUGCAUGAUUGUUCCCACACUUUAAUGAAUUCCAGUGGCAUAGUGGAAGAACUAGCCCUUAUAUUUUAUAUUUUGUAGCCACUUCUAGACUCAGUGAUAUACAUAUUUGGAACAUUAUGCAUAUAUUUGUAAGGAAUUUUUUAAAAUUUGAUUUCGCUGCAUAAAGUUUAUCAUUCACUCGUCAUUCUGAAUUUGUAUCUGAUAC